GUCUGAAGGUCCUCACUGGAGCCUGACGCGUUCCUGGUUCAGUUUCCAAUCUUUUGGAAGAGUAUUGCGUUAGCUCUGCUUUCAUUCCUCAUGCUUUUUCAUGUGCAGGCUUUCCAUGGGGUAGUCUUUCAUCCGGAACAACCACUGGGUACUGCUUCUCCACACACACACACACACACACACACACAACAUUUUACACCAUGUGCACCCAAAUGGCACCAUGUGACAUGUCUCUGGAGGCUGAGUGAUGGAUAGAUAUUGCCAAACAUCACCUCUAUAAGUCACUUGCUGUGAUGCUGCACUCUUUCACAUAUAAAGCGUGUGUGUGUGUGUGUGUGUGUGUGUAUGUGUGUGUGUGUGUGUCCUGUGAGACACAGAUCUUUAAUAUGCUUGUGUGAAAGAGAUUUCCUCUGUUCAGGGAGAGGCUUUGCUUAAGCAAUACACCCAAUCUUUCGCACAAUCUUUUGCACAAUCUUUCGCACACAAUCUCUAGAGUUUCCUAACUCUAUUCACACUCAUCUCUUCCAGGAUCUUCACCUUUUACCGAAGACGAGGCGCACACACAAACAUUUAUAAUUUACGUUUAUCAGCCUCAGAAUAACAUGCACGGCACAAAGAAGGGACUUUUUUUAAAGAACUCUUUCAGGGAAAGAAUUGGGCAUAAGUGAGGAAAACCAAAUAACAAUGCUCUUGCCCUUUUGACAGGAAGUACAGCUUUCAUCAGGCAGUUCACACAGCUAGCACUGAGCUGUCGUUACAACACUUGAUCAGUAUGUUCACCUAAGGUUUCUUUAUUUUUCUGUGUAACUUGGAGAGAACUGAUUUUUAAAAAGUGCUUGGACCCCGCAGAUCACCGCUCGCGCCUAUAUUUUCUUUUGUUUACGGUUAUUAAAAGCUCUUCACGUCUUCAUCACCCGGUGACCUCCUUCAUCAUCUUUGGAACGCAGUCAGGUUUUAUUGAGAAUUGAUGUUCAGACAUCGUGCUGUGAUGGUGCUGUCCAGGGUUUAAAGGUCUUUUCCCAUUUUUCUGCAAUAUUCCUCGAGCGAGGAGAUUAAAAAGAUGAGACGGUGAACCACUCUCAUCAUUUUAAAAUCGGUUCCGAAAACUCCGUCUUUUAAAAGGUCUCGCCGUUCAGGAUCUUUUCCAUCACUGCCGUGCGCACACAGCGCUGUUUUAGGGUGUUUCAGUCCUCUCAGCGUGAUGGAUUGAAGAGCGGCUAGUUAACGUCGUCGCUCUGGAGACGAGCCAGUUGAGAAGAAGGUAUUAGAAGGUGCUCAUAUAUUAUUCGUUUUAGGCAAUGGUCUAUACAGACCAAAUAUUUCCAGUAUUUGUAAAAACAAACAAAACAAACCCACACUGUUUGGUAGAAAUGAGCGUAUUUGAGGAUUAUUGAGGAGACGUGUUUUCCUUUCAGCCGACGAGCUGCUAUCCAUCAUGAGAUGCACGCAGAAACAUGAGUGUCUGAGGGAGGAGAGGAUGAGUUGAGUGUCAUCAGCAUAUCAGUGGUGUGAAAACCCGUGUGAGGAUGUGGCCUCAUCAAGAUAGCAGGUAUAGAGGAACAGAAGAGGACCCGGCCCUGAGCCUUGUGGGGCACCACUGGAGAGUCCACAUGGCACAGAUGUCGAUCCCAUCCAUGUCGCCUGAUUCCGAGUGUCCCUUGCCCCGGUUUCAAAUGCUCUGAAAGAUCGAGGAGGAUGAAGAUGGAUCAAGCAGCAUGAAAUGGCUACAAGGGCGGUUUCUCUGGAGUGUGUAGAGUAGAUGUGAAGCCAGUUUGUUUAGGAUCUUGGAGGGUGUUCUGGGUGAGACAGAAAGGCAGUUUAUUGUCGAUGGGCUUUAGAAAGAAAAGAGAGAAGUAACACUGGGACGGCUGUGAAAAAUUUGGCUCAGGUGGUAGAGCGGGAUGUCCACUAAUAAUAGGGUUGGUGGUUCAGUCCCCGGCCUACACGAAUCCACACGCCGAAGCGUCCUUGGGCAAGACGCUGAACCCCAAGUUGCUCCCGAUGGGGGGGGGCAAGCGCCGUGCAUGGUAGCUCUGCUGCUUUUGGUGUAAGGUUAAAAGGCGCUAUAUAAGUGUAGAUCGUUUACUGAUGUUACUGAGAGGUGGAAGCACUGAACAACCAUCCGGCCGUAUCGACUGCUCAAACUCUGGUCCCGCUCUGGGACUGCGCAAUCAAGAUGCCGACUUUCAGUUCAAGCUAAUUCAGGCAUCAGAACCAUACAGUGGGAGUGAAUGGUGCAAUGUCGUCCACUCCUAUUGGUCCAAGCGGAGUUGUGUUGCCUGGGCUGCUGUUCUUAUCUGGAUAGAUCCUCGGUCUCUGGGAGAAAUUGAAAUGAGAGAACCAGAAACACUUCAACUGACUACAUUUUUCUUCCUUACAGAUUUGGACUGUCUCGGUGGUUAAAUAUAUAGGGCAUGCACAUACUGUCUCGUUCUGGUAGAUCAACACAGACAUUCACUUACUCAUCCAUGCACGUUUCCACUCCAUCUGGUAUGCACAUUCUCUUGAGAAUCCUGAUUUUCCUUCCUCUCUCGUCUGAUUAUGAGAAACCCUUUCUAGUCUUCUGCCCUUCAACGGGAUUUGUUCCCAAAUACACGAUGUCCUUCAGUUUCACUUUGUGGACACUCUCUCUCUAUUUUCUCUUGUUUUUCACACUCGCUCGCUCUGUUGCACGUUGAGGAACUGCCAGAAGCUCAGGUGUAAUCGAGGCAGUCUCUCGCUCUACCCUUUACAAAAAAAAAAGCCCCCCCCCUUUUUUUUAAGCUGUUAUAAAAACAAACAAUGAAGCACAUGCAUACAGAUUUCACGUCUUGCACGUCCUCCAGACAUUCUGAAUGCUUAAUGGAUUCUUCUCACCUUCAUCCUUAAGUCACACUGUUAAGACGCUGUGCUGCAUUACACUGAUUGGAUGGCUUGAUUGAUGUGCGCAUGCACUUGAGCAAGGUCAGUCUGCUUUUUCCUAGAGGAGUACUUUUUUUUGGGGGGGGGCGACGCUCUUAAUGAUGUCUGAGUGCAUUUUGGGACACACACUGGUGCUGCUGUCUCAGCUCUGAGGAAAAGGUGGGACACGACACAACUACCAGCCUGUCCUCCAUUACACACACACUCGGAGAGAUGCAGUGAGGAACGGCUGAUAAUGGAGAGUGAUCUCACUCUCUUGCAUGUGGUGGAGCGUGGACCGAGGAGAAGCCCUGCAGACCUUCUUCACCACAGGAAACAACCUGAAGCGCGUCUGCGUCUCGUCCGACUUCAAAACGUUCGUCACCAUCGACAACAUCGGCAUCCUGUACGUCCUGAAGCAGGUGGAACGAGGACGGAUUUAAGCUGGACCGUCGAGAAUCCAGUCUCGUGAAGCAAUGGCCGCGUUCGAUCUGUUUCUGGCCUGUCUGCGGAAUUCUUUAGAAGGUGCAGAAGGUCUAGUGAACUCGGCUGUCGCGUCUGGGAAUGACCGGGGGUAUGCGUGUCCUGUCGCCUCGUGGAAGCGGAUCGGUGCUUUUUCUACGACAGUCUUUGUCUUUGUGUUGGAAUUUAAAACGUGUUCUCGGCGACUCCACGUUGGAGGGAGAGAGAAGCCCUGCACCGUUGUGCCUGAGCGUUUGAUCUAAAGCCUUAAAAGCUCAACAAAAAAUAAAUAAAUGACCAAAUUUGCUGCACUGGGAAUAAUAUAAGGAUACUGUUUUAAUAACACAAAAUGAAUGACCCCAUAUUUUAUUUUAUUACGCAAUGAACGCAAUCACAUUCAAUAUUCCAGCCUCGUAUAUUCUCAAAAGUCUGCACAAUCACAGCCGAAGGAUCGCGGCUAAUCAGAAGGUGACGCUAAAACGAUGAUGAAAUUGUACAUGAACGUCACUUUAUACCCUUAAAAACCUUAAACCUUGAUUGAGCGAAGACGAGGGAAGCACAGUCGGGGUUUUAUUUAUUUUUUUUUUUUAAAGGCCUUCGAUAAGACGUAAUGCACUAUUUGCAGCAAUAGAUGAGUAAUAACUGCGUCAGAAACGGUUUUAAUAUUUCCAUGUUUUUAAUGAAAAAAAUAAAUAAAAAAAGCUAAUAAACAAUCGUCGGUGCUUAAUUAUUCGCUCCGUCUAGAUAACCGUCUUCUCGUGGGAAUAGCUCGUCAGUAGAGGCGCUGUCUCCGAGCUAGGAGCUCUGAACUCUUUACGGAGUCUACUCAGGUGAAACUGUGGCCGUCGUGUUCUGCAUGCUCGACGCCGUGUACUUCACUUCACACCGCACACUUUUCUAGAACACUGUUGGCUGUUAACGCUUUUUUUUAUGAAGGCUUUUGGAGACUUUCGUAAACAUUCAUCCGUAAACGUAGGCACGUGCCGACUCGCUUCGUUUAGAGUUUUGUGUCUGUACAAGGAAGUGGUGUUUAUGUUUACAAAACACUCCAUGUUUCGAAUAAAGCCAUGUAUGUAUUGUCAUACAAAAAAACUGCAGAGAAUGUAGACGGCAAUUCUACGCAAUUUUCCUUACUGUGAAAAAAAAGAAAUAAAGGGGGAAAAAAACAACUUUUCUAAUGUUUAUUUGUGUAUAUUUAACAUAGAAUAUUGUAUCAUUGGGCAGACGCCCUUUUCCACAGAG
ensembl:lncRNA